rnacentral:rRNA from 1 species
GACGAAGGGGGCUAGCGUUGUUCGGAAUUACUGGGCGUAAAGCGCGUGUAGGCGGUUGUCCAAGUUGGAUGUGAAAUCCUUGAGCUCAACUCAAGAAAUGCAUUCAGGACUGGAUGACUAGAGGACCGGAGAGGAUAGUGGAAUUCCCAGUGUAGUGGUGAAAUACGUAGAGAUUGGGAAGAACACCAGUGGCGAAGGCGGCUAUCUGGACGGUUUCUGACGCUAAGACGCGAAAGCGUGGGGAGCAAACAGG